AGGAGAUAGGGAUGCUAUUAUUCUAAAAUUAUAGCAGUUUCUGGUUCUGUUUCACUAUUUACAUGUGAAGUUUAGUUGUUACUUUAUUUUCUUACUUUGGAAAAGUAUUUAACUUCUCUACAUCUAAUUUUCCUAAACAGUUAAAUAGAAAUAAUAAUAAUAAUGAUAAUAAUUAUAGCUAUCUCAUAAAAUUGUUGUGAAGAGUAAAUGCAUUAACACAUGUAAUAUUAUUAGGAUAGUAAUUCUGGAGCCCAGUAGUAUCCUAACAAAAUGUAGCCACUGUUACCUAGUAUGACUUUUCAUUGUUGGGAAUAUUUUAGUAAGCCUAUUGAUCAUAUGUAGAUAACAAAGAUCAGACAAUCUCUUCAGCAUUAUGAUAUAAAUCUGUGUCAUUGUGAGCAAAGCUUCACACAGGUAUGAAUAUGAGAUUGAGACUGGAAAGAACCUCUUCACCCCCACCAUCCAUAUUCUGGACUUUGAAGUGUGAGUAAAGUAUCAAUACUUCAGACAGGGGGACAAUGAUAAAAGCAUUCUUAUUGAGGGGAUGACUAUAUGGGAGAUAGAGCCUAUUCAGUCUAGAAAUUUUCACAUUUUGUAACCACUAUCAAGGGCUUUUUCUAUGUUGCAAAUCUGUUUUAUUAUCUUGGUUGAAGAUUUUUAAAAAUUUAAACUCUUAUAGCCUGUUCUUAUCCAUUUUUUAGAGUAGAUUCCACUCCUGUUCCAAAUGAUGUAGCCAAGGCACAGCAGUGGUCACCUAUGAGAUUCAAUUAUGGUUUGGUGAAAAGUGAUGGAAGAAAGAAGUGUUGUCCUCUAUAAUAGGUGGUUUCCUGAGAUUUUAGUGCACUCCAUUCAUCCAUCCAUCAUUAGACUGUGUUUCCCCAGAGAUGAUAAGAUGUGACUGCCUGAAGCAAAUGCAUAUUAUCUCUUCCCUGGUAAACCUUUCCCUCUUUCCAAAAUGAGUUGUGCUCGGUACCAGGGAAAGAAACUUCGAAAUUCCCUUUACUGCUCUAUAAAGCCUAGAGCCAAGAACAAGAGGUAAGUAGCCUGUUUCUUGUUUAAUUUUCUCUGUCUUUUCCCACAACACUUUGACUCCUCUGAAUCCUUCAGAUUUCAAGCAAAAGGUACAUUUGAACUUAUGCCAAGGCUUCUGAGCCUUAUCAUAACCAGCACCAUUCCACAUGGGAAAGAAAAAGUUAAUAAAAUGCCCUUCUAAGAGACA
rnacentral:lncRNA from 12 species